CUAUACAUGCAGUCGAACGCGUUGGCCCAAUUGAUUGAUGGUGCUUGCACCUGAUUGAUUUUGGUCGCCAACGAGUGGCGGACGGGUGAGUAACACGUAGGUAACCUGCCCAGAAGCGGGGGACAACAUUUGGAAACAGAUGCUAAUACCGCAUAACAGCGUUGUUCGCAUGAACAACGCUUAAAAGAUGGCUUCUCGCUAUCACUUCUGGAUGGACCUGCGGUGCAUUAGCUUGUUGGUGGGGUAAUGGCCUACCAAGGCGAUGAUGCAUAGCCGAGUUGAGAGACUGAUCGGCCACAAUGGGACUGAGACACGGCCCAUACUCCUACGGGAGGCAGCAGUAGGGAAUCUUCCACAAUGGGCGCAAGCCUGAUGGAGCAACACCGCGUGAGUGAAGAAGGGUUUCGGCUCGUAAAGCUCUGUUGUUAAAGAAGAACACGUAUGAGAGUAACUGUUCAUACGUUGACGGUAUUUAACCAGAAAGUCACGGCUAACUACGUGCCAGCAGCCGCGGUAAUACGUAGGUGGCAAGCGUUAUCCGGAUUUAUUGGGCGUAAAGAGAGUGCAGGCGGUUUUCUAAGUCUGAUGUGAAAGCCUUCGGCUUAACCGGAGAAGUGCAUCGGAAACUGGAUAACUUGAGUGCAGAAGAGGGUAGUGGAACUCCAUGUGUAGCGGUGGAAUGCGUAGAUAUAUGGAAGAACACCAGUGGCGAAGGCGGCUACCUGGUCUGCAACUGACGCUGAGACUCGAAAGCAUGGGUAGCGAACAGGAUUAGAUACCCUGGUAGUCCAUGCCGUAAACGAUGAGUGCUAGGUGUUGGAGGGUUUCCGCCCUUCAGUGCCGGAGCUAACGCAUUAAGCACUCCGCCUGGGGAGUACGACCGCAAGGUUGAAACUCAAAGGAAUUGACGGGGGCCCGCACAAGCGGUGGAGCAUGUGGUUUAAUUCGAAGCUACGCGAAGAACCUUACCAGGUCUUGACAUCUUGCGCCAACCCUAGAGAUAGGGCGUUUCCUUCGGGAACGCAAUGACAGGUGGUGCAUGGUCGUCGUCAGCUCGUGUCGUGAGAUGUUGGGUUAAGUCCCGCAACGAGCGCAACCCUUGUUACUAGUUGCCAGCAUUAAGUUGGGCACUCUAGUGAGACUGCCGGUGACAAACCGGAGGAAGGUGGGGACGACGUCAGAUCAUCAUGCCCCUUAUGACCUGGGCUACACACGUGCUACAAUGGACGGUACAACGAGUCGCGAACUCGCGAGGGCAAGCAAAUCUCUUAAAACCGUUCUCAGUUCGGACUGCAGGCUGCAACUCGCCUGCACGAAGUCGGAAUCGCUAGUAAUCGCGGAUCAGCAUGCCGCGGUGAAUACGUUCCCGGGCCUUGUACACACCGCCCGUCACACCAUGAGAGUUUGUAACACCCAAAGUCGGUGGGGUAACCUUUUAGGAGCCAGCCGC
rnacentral:rRNA from 1 species